CUCCCCAGCAGCGCACCUCCUGGCCCUACCUGGCAGAGAGUGGCAUGGAAUACAACCUAAAGAAGGAAGAAUGUGGCUCUAAAUUAAUCAUCUACCAAACAAUAUUUUGAAUGUAAAGACAUAUGAAGAGUCUCCUUCUCUACAAAUCCUCAUUCGGUGGAGGCACGGUGGAAAGAGUUACACACAUCUGUGCCACAUGCAGACUUUGGCUUGGCGUGACUGUGGUUGUGUUCCACUCAGGCAAUCCACUCUGUGAGUGGAGAAAUUUGCAGGUUCACAGAAGAACAGAUUUGUAGAGGUUGGAGGCAUCUCACUGGAGAUCAUGAAAUCCAACCCCCUGCUGAAGCAGGUUCCAUAGAGCAGAUCACACAGGAGGGCAUCCAGGCAGGUUUUGACUGUCUCCGGAGAAGAAGGCUGAUGGAGAGGGAACUACAGCAAACUUCAAAGCGAAGAGUAACCUCAACAAACUGAAAAAACAAACAAAUGUAACUUUUCUCAAACAGAUCCCUGCCCAAAUGUGGAUUAACUGUGUGAGCUUUUUUUUCUCUGAGACAGCUGGGAACAUCUGCUGAAUAACCAGAGCUCUUUUGCAUAUGGUGCCACCUGCAUCUUGAUAUGCAACAACAAGCCAAAUUUUGCCAUCCUGUAUGCUUUUGCAUCUCCACUGAACCCACGGGGGCUGCAUGCAUGUAACUGAGAGUUUAAUCCCAGUGAAUCUCUGUUGUGUUGCCCAGUGUCUAAAUUUGAUGAAUUUCAGUGGAGACACAGGGCAUAACUGAGAUCAGUCUUGAGCUGUAGAUCAGUGAGUACCUUUAACGGAAAAUUCUUUUACCAGUCUGGUGCCCUGAAGGAAGCUUCCCCUAAAAAAUGGUAUUUCUGACAAAUAGAGGACUUUGCUAGUAAAUAAAUCCAGCUUAAUGGGAUGACCCCACUCUGGAUGUCUGAGGCAGGUGGGAGGCUGACCUCUAGAGUUGGUGCUGCAGGUACUGAAGAUGAGCUCCACUGUGUUGUAUUCCACCUACCCCAUGGACACAGAAGAGACGCUUUGCUUUCUCUCAGGCUACCUAGGUAGAAAUACAAGACAGAUAAUAUCUGUGCCUUCAGAAAAAGCAUAUCUCUAAAAAAAGCCCACAUUUUACCUUAGAGAUUGUUUGUAACUCUGACUGAGAUGCCUCAAAGGAAAUAUCAAAUAGAAAUUUGUAUUUUAU